UCGAGGAUCUUUCACAAUGCGCGAAAGCGUGAUGGAGCGACGCCGCAUGCAGGAUGAAGGCCUUCGGGUCGUAAACUGCUGUCAGGAGGGAGCAACGAGCGGGAUAUUAAUACUAUCUCGCAGUGAUAGUACCUCCAGAGGAAGCCACGGCUAACUCUGUGCCAGCAGCCGCGGUAAUACAGAGGCGGCAAGCGUUGUUCGGAUUUACUGGGCGUAAAGGGUGCGUAGGCGGUUCCGCAUGU
rnacentral:rRNA from 1 species